CUGCAGACGGGCACUUUGCUAGUAGUUGCAAGUUUCAACUCGUCUUAUAGCAAAUCUUUGGUCUGAACUGGGUUAAAUACAGACUAAA